rnacentral:rRNA from 1 species
UGGGGAAUAUUGCGCAAUGGGCGAAAGCCUGACGCAGCGACGCCGUGUGAGGGAAGAAGGCCUUCGGGUCGUAAACCUCUGUCAGGAGGGAAGAACCCCGUGGAUGCGAAGAGUGUCUACGGCUGACGGUACCUCCAGAGGAAGCACCGGCUAACUCCGUGCCAGCAGCCGCGGUAAUACGGAGGGUGCAAGCGUUAAUCGGAAUCACUGGGCGUAAAGCGUACGUAGGCGGUCUUGUAGGUCAGGCGUGAAAGCCCUCGGCUCAACCGGGGAAUUGCGCUUGAAACCACAAGACUUGAGUACAGGAGAGGAUGGCAGAAUUCCGGGUGUAGGGGUGAAAUCCGUAGAUAUCCGGAGGAAUACCAGUGGCGAAGGCGGCCAUCUGGACUGUCACUGACGCUGAGGUACGAAAGCGUGGGGAGCAAACAGGAUUAGAUACCCGUGUAGUCC